UACGUAGGGCGCAAGCGUUAUCCGGAAUUAUUGGGCGUAAAGAGCUCGUAGGCGGUUUGUCGCGUCUGCCGUGAAAGUCCGGGGCUCAACUCCGGAUCUGCGGUGGGUACGGGCAGACUAGAGUGAUGUAGGGGAGACUGGAAUUCCUGGUGUAGCGGUGAAAUGCGCAGAUAUCAGGAGGAACACCGAUGGCGAAGGCAGGUCUCUGGACAUUAACUGACGCUGAGGAGCGAAAGCUAGGGGAGCAAACAGG
rnacentral:rRNA from 1 species